GAAAAUUUAGGCCCAGGAGUCCUUAGCCCACAUUCGCGUUCUCUUCUGGAGCUGGUUCGUACGAAAAAUCAAGAGCAGAAAAAAGAGAGAGAGGAGCGAGUUGGCAAAAGAAAAAGAAAUCAGAGAAAGAGGGGAAUCUGAGAGUGAGCGGAAGGGGGCUUUUGCUGCGAUUCGGUUCGGAGGCCACGAUGAGCUAGAUUCAUACCAUUUUGAAGCACUCGGUAAGAAAUUCCAAACCUUGAUAAAUCUAAUGAAAUCAAAGAAAUUUGUUCUGUUAAGUUGUAAUUUCGGAUCGGUUCAGGUUUUAGGGUUGCCGGGUUGAUUCUUGAGAUCGUUGAGCCUUGAAAUGAUGUCAUUUUGAAACGUUAGGUUGGUCUUGGAAUUGUGAGAUUUUUUGGAUUGCCGUUUGAGAGAUAUUGAUUCUUUGAAGUUCUCAAAAACUAAUGUACAGUAACAACAACCAGCAGGGUUUUGUCCUGGAUUUCAUCAGUCGUCCGCCAAAUUAUGGCUCUAAGGAGUUUUGGGUCUUUUAGUACUUUGAAUUAGCUCUUGUUUGACUGUAAACUCACUUAAAAUGGAGUCUAGUAGAGAUGUAUGACAUGCCAACAUUAGUAACGUAAGACAAGAUUGCUGCUCUGUUUGUUGUAGCAAGUUUGAUGCUUGUGUGGCGUUUUUGUCGACUCAUACUGGAUGUUUUGACUCCAAAAAUUAGUGUUGCCUUGUAGAAUCUUAGUUAAGGUUAGUGAUAUGUAAGAUUCACAUUUGGUUAAUGCUUUCUUUGAUAGGAUUUUUUAGCUUUUCAGGUGGUAAAGCUUUCAAUUUAGCUUUUGGUUAGCGAGGAGUGAUACUUAUUUCUUCUCUGAUUUGUAAACUCACGGCUUGAAAAUCAUAGAUAUUACAUAUGCCAUAAGUUAUGAACGAGAACAUUGCACGCUAUGAUUUUUUUUUUAAAUGGUGUUUAGAGCAUUUUUGUUGUAUAAAGCUAGAUCUUGCAUUUAAUACCCAUUUGGUUAUUUGAAAUAGCAUAGUAAAAUAUCUCCUGAGAUGGUUGGAGAGUUUAUUAUUUAUGAAAUUGUUUGAGAAAUUUUUCAUGAAUGUAUUCUUCUUGUGGAUAGAAUUGCGAAGGGUUGUAUCGAUUUUUUACUCUAGUUUAUUAAACGGGUUCUGAAAUGAGUUUGCUGCAGAUAGGAUUAUGUUGAUUAUUUUAUCCUCUUGUCGCUAUGAUCUGAAAUCAUUGAAGGGAUGUGAGUAAGCAAACAUGUUCUCAGGAUGUCUUGUACAGCCAAAGGCACCGGCUGAGAUUAGUGGAAACUUAUGCCUAGAAGGAUAUCUUGGUAAGCCUUGUCAUGGGGCGUUAGACAUGGCUAUGUUUAAUACGAAGUACUAGAGUGAUCAAUAGACUAGACCACAUAUGUUUACUUAAAUAUUGUUGAUCGAAUGAGCAUUUUUCUAAUAUGUUGAAAACGUUGUUAGAGUGAUGUAACUCAUAUAUAGACUUUUACAUAUAUUACAUACUGGAUUUGGUUGUGUUUCUGUUGCUGUUUAUACUGUGAAUAGUUUAUGCUCUAUUUGUUGAGAAAUGUACUAUUUAUCGAGAGGUGGUUUGCUCAUACCAUUCAUUGCAAUUCUUUUUCAGCUGCCGACAAAUAGGAGGAAAGCUACAUCAGUGAAGAAAUCUUAGGAAUUUGGGUUUUGGGUAUAACUUGAGAUAAUUGUGCGUAUAACUUGUGAUGAUACUUUUUGAGUUUAGUUUGUCAGUCCCUGGAGAUAUAUAUAUUAUGUUGGUGGAUUUUAGAACUCUAGUCAUGUAACUAUCCUAUUAUUAUGAGAUGUUAAUGAAUAUAUAUUUUGAUAACAGGUUUAUAUUGGUAACUCGUAUGAGACUGCAUCCUUUGGACCGAAGGACAAUUGUGCCAUUUUUCCUAUGUUUGUAGAGUUGGGUUUUGAUGGUUUUUUCAAUUUGUCCUUUUAAGUUUUUUUCAGAAACAUCAAGCCAGGCGAGUAGUCAUUGUUCAGAUUAUGAUACCCCAUACAGUGCAAGUCAAGGGGUUGUGUAAGAGGAUGAUAUUGCUUUUGCUCGGUGUUAUUUGCUUCAGCUCU
rnacentral:lncRNA from 1 species